rnacentral:misc_RNA from 1 species
GAUGAAGAACGUAGCGAAAUGCGAUAAGUAAUGUGAAUUGCAGAAUUCAGUGAACCAUAGAAUCUUUGAACGCACAUUGCGCCCGGCAGUAAUCUGCCGGGCAUGCCUGUCCGAGCGUCAUUUCUACCCUCGAGCGAGUCCAGCAUCUAGGUGCUGGGCCUCGCCCGGCGUUGGAGCACUACGGGAAGCCCUGUGCUGUCCCCCGUAGGCCCCGAAAUGAAGUGGCGGUCCUGCCGCGGCGCCCCCUGCGUAGUAUAACAGCUCGCUUCGGGACCCGGUGGAGGCCUGCCGUCAAACCUAUACUCUCUAAGUUUGACCUCGGAUCAGGUAGGGUUACCCGCUGAACUUAAGCAUAUCAAUAAGCGGAGGA